CAUCAUGAAGUGCGAUGUGGACAUCAGGAAGGACCUGUAUGCCAACACCGUGCUGUCUGGUGGC
rnacentral:miRNA from 1 species